rnacentral:rRNA from 1 species
UACGUAGGGUGCGAGCGUUAAUCGGAAUUACUGGGCGUAAAGCGUGCGCAGGCGGCUUCGCAAGUCAGACGUGAAAUCCCCGGGCUUAACCUGGGGAUGGCGUUUGAAACUACGGAGCUGGAGUGUGGCAGAGGGAGGUAGAAUUCCACGUGUAGCGGUGAAAUGCGUAGAUAUGUGGAGGAAUACCGAUGGCGAAGGCAGCCUCCUGGGCCAACACUGACGCUCAUGCACGAAAGCGUGGGGAGCAAACAGG